GACGAACGCUGGCGGCGUGCUUAACACAUGCGAGUCGAACGGUAAGGCCCUUCGGGGUACACGAGUGGCGAACGGGUGAGUAACACGUGGGUGAUCUGCCCUGCACUUCGGGAUAAGCCUGGGAAACUGGGUCUAAUACCGGAUAGGACCACUGCCUGCAUGGGUGGUGGUGGAAAGCUUUUGCGGUGUGGGAUGGGCCCGCGGCCUAUCAGCUUGUUGGUGGGGUGAUGGCCUACCAAGGCGACGACGGGUAGCCGGCCUGAGAGGGUGACCGGCCAAACUGGGACGGAGAUACGGCCCAGACUCCUACGGGAGGCAGCAGUGGGGAAUAUUGCACAAUGGGCGCAAGCCUGAUGCAGCGACGCCGCGUGAGGGAUGACGGCCUUCGGGUUGUAAACCUCUUUCAGCACCGACGAAGCGCAAGUGACGGUAGGUGCAGAAGAAGGACCGGCCAACUACGUGCCAGCCGCCGCGGUAA
rnacentral:rRNA from 1 species